rnacentral:rRNA from 1 species
AACGAACGCUGGCGGCAUGCCUAACACAUGCGAGUCGAACGAGACCUUCGGGUCUAGUGGCGCACGGGUGCGUAACGCGUGGGAACCUGCCCUUAGGUUCGGAAUAACUCCCCGAAAGGGGUGCUAAUACCGGAUAAUGUCUUCGGACCAAAGAUUUAUCGCCUUUGGAUGGGCCCGCGUUGGAUUAGCUAGUUGGUAGGGUAAAAGCCUACCAAGGCGACGAUCCAUAGCUGGUCUGAGAGGAUGAUCAGCCACACUGGGACUGAGACACGGCCCAGACUCCUACGGGAGGCAGGAGUGGGGAAUAUUGGACAAUGGGCGAAAGCCUGAUCCAGCAAUGCCGCGUGAGUGAUGAAGGCCUUAGGGUUGUAAAGCUCUUUUACCCGGGAUGAUAAUGACAGUACCGGGAGAAUAAGCUCCGGCUAACUCCGUG